CUUAAAUCUCUCUUUCUUUGGUCAUAGAUAUUUGAAACAGAGUUUUGGGGAACACCACCACAGAGGGUUGAUGAUCCCACCAAAUGGCCUCAAGAGUUUAUAGAUUCCUAGAACCCACAUUAAAGCAGAUAAAGAUGCUAAUAAGCAGCUCAGAGACUACAAGAUCUGCCUCUGCCGGAAGGCUCUUUCAGUGGAAGGAGUUCAUUCAUGAGGGUAGUGAUUGUCUGGAACCCCCUCUCAUCUCAUCAUCAGAAGCAAGCUCCCUACAGACCAGGACCCACCAAC